AAAAUUUUAGUAUAAUUAAGUAUAAGUUAUUGUCAAUAACUAGGUUAAAAUUUUA
rnacentral:tRNA from 1 species